rnacentral:rRNA from 1 species
AGUGGCGGACGGGUGAGUAACGCGUAAGAAUCUAACUUCAGGACGGGGACAACAGUUGGAAACGACUGCUAAUACCCGAUGUGCCGCAAGGUGAAACCUAAUUGGCCUGGAGAAGAGCUUGCGUCUGAUUAGCUAGUUGGUGGGGUAAAGGCCUACCAAGGCGACGAUCAGUAGCUGGUCUGAGAGGAUGAGCAGCCACACUGGGACUGAGACACGGCCCAGACCCCUACGGGAGGCAGCAGUGGGGAAUUUUCCGCAAUGGGCGAAAGCCUGACGGAGCAACGCCGCGUGAGGGAGGAAGGUCUUUGGAUUGUAAACCUCUUUUCUCAAGGAAGAAGUUCUGACGGUACUUGAGGAAUCAGCCUCGGCUAACUCCGUGCCAGCAGCCGCGGUAAUACGGGGGAGGCAAGCGUUAUCCGGAAUUAUUGGGCGUAAAGCAUCCGCAGGUGGUCAGCCAAGUCUGCCGUCAAAUCAGGUUGCUUAACGACCUAAAGGCGGUGGAAACUGGCAGACUAGAGAGCAGUAGGGGUAGCAGGAAUUCCCAGUGUAGCGGUGAAAUGCGUAGAGAUUGGGAAGAACAUCGGUGGCGAAAGCGUGCUACUGGGCUGUAUCUGACACUCAGGGACGAAAGCUAGGGGAGCGAAAGGGAUUAGAUACCCCUGUAGUCCUAGCCGUAAACGAUGGAUACUAGGCGUGGCUU